GAGAUCCGUUUUUUCUUUCGCCAUUCUUAGACUCGAAUCUCUCGGGAUUGGGCUCACUGAAUUGUCGGAGAGAUUCUGCUGCAGACGCUCGAUUCCAGUGGCUGAGCGCGUUGAAUCCGUCGCGGCCCCGUCUCCGAAACCCCGGCCCAGACCUGAUGUUCAGUCUAGCGGAUCUCCGAAUCCGAGUGCCGUUCUUCGAUGCCGCCGUUGAAGUUGUAGAUCCGAUCUCUCUCAAACUCUAGAGGCCGGAACAGUCAGUCGAGGAGCUCGGAGAGUGACAGUUUUUGAUACUUCACCGAGUUCAGAGGAAUCCGUUCGGUUCCAGAGAUCGAGCUCUGAAGCCAACGGCGACAGCGUUUACUACAGCGACGGUUUCUUCGUUCAGUUACAGGUGCCGACGUGUUUAGGACCUCCAUUCUCCAAUCGUGGUUUAGGUUUAGAUGAGUAAACUUGAAGUGGAUGUGAUCCCAUGCUUGGGAAUCUCAAGACUAUUGGUGAAUCUCGACCCAAGACAUCAAGACUGUGGAAAAAUUCCCGAGCCUCAGGGAUUUCGGGGAGCUCAUAUUAUCAAACAAGAAGACGAUGCCUGGAUCGAUGACGAACGCUUGGCCCAUGAUAACAAGCGUCUCCACACGAUCCCACCUAGUUCUUAGGUUUCGAAUUCAUAUUUCUUUUCUUGUAAAGGGAAUUCAUUUGUGUUUCCCUCAUUUCUAUCAAGGUUUCCCUGUAUUCAUUUUCAUAUUCCUUGUAAAAUCGAAUUACUUUGUAAGCUUCAAGAAAGCAAGAUUAUGUUUCCCUUGUAAUUGUUCGAUGAAAUGAAUAAAAUUCAUGAACAUUUUCAUGUAA